GAUGAACGCUGGCGGCGUGCCUAAUACAUGCGAGUCGAGCGAACGGACGAGAAGCUUGCUUCUCUGAUGUUAGCGGCGGACGGGUGAGUAACACGUGGAUAACCUACCUAUAAGACUGGGAUAACUUCGGGAAACCGGAGCUAAUACCGGAUAAUAUUUUGAACCGCAUGGUUCAAAAGUGAAAGACGGUCUUGCUGUCACUUAUAGAUGGAUCCGCGCUGCAUUAGCUAGUUGGUAAGGUAACGGCUUACCAAGGCAACGAUGCAUAGCCGACAUGAGAGGGUGAUCGGCCACACUGGAACUGAGACACGGUCCAGAGUCCUACGGGAGGCAGCAGUAGGGAAUCUUCCGCAAUGGGCGAAAGCCUGACGGAGCAACGCCGCGUGAGUGAUGAAGGUCUUCGGAUCGUAAAACUCUGUUAUUAGGGAAGAACAUAUGUGUAAGUAACUGUGCACAUCUUGACGGUACCUAAUCAGAAAGCCACGGCUAACUACGUG
rnacentral:rRNA from 1 species